GCCCCUUGUGGUCGGUGUACAGGUGGUGCAUGGUUGUCGUCAGCUCGUGUCGUGAGAUGUUGGGUUAAGUCCCGCAACGAGCGCAACCCUCGUCCUAUGUUGCCAGCGGGUCAUGCCGGGGACUCAUGGGAGACUGCCGGGGUCAACUCGGAGGAAGGUGGGAUGACGUCAAAUCAUCAUGCCCCUUAUGUCUUGGGCUUCACGCAUGCUACAAUGGCCGGUACAAAGGGCUGCGAUACCGCGAGGUGGAGCGAAUCCCAGAAAGCCGGUCUCAGUUCGGAUUGGGGUCUGCAACUCGACCCCAUGAAGUCGGAGUCGCUAGUAAUCGCAGAUCAGCAACGCUGCGGUGAAUACGUUCCCGGGCCUU
rnacentral:rRNA from 1 species